rnacentral:rRNA from 1 species
GCAAGGUGCUGCAUGGUGUCGUCAGCUCGUGCCGUGAGGUGUCGGGUUAAGUCCCAUAACGAGCGCAACCCUUAUCGUUAGUUGCCAGCGGGUCAUGCCGGGAACUCUAACGAAACUGCCGGUGUAAACCGUGAGGAAGGUGGGGAUGACGUCAAAUCAGCACGGCCCUUAUGUCCAGGGCUACACACGUGUUACAAUGGCCGGUACAGAGGGCAGCUACCUGGAGACAGGAUGCGAAUCUCCAAAGCCGGUCUCAGUUCGGAUCGGAGUCUGCAACUCGACUCCGUGAAGCUGGAUUCGCUAGUAAUCGCGCAUCAGCCAUGGCGCGGUGAAUACGUUCCCGGGCCUU